UGGCUCAGUGGAUUAAGGAUCUGACUAGUAUCCGUGAGGAUGUGAGUUCAACCCCUGGCCUCCCUCAGGGGGUUAAAGAUCUGGCAUUGCUGCGAGCUGUGAUGUAGGUUGCAGAUGCAGCUCACAUCCUGCGUUGCUGUGGCUGUGGUGCAGGAGGGCAGCUCCAGCUUCAGUUCAACCCCUAGCCUGGGAACUUCCAUGUGCCUUCUCAGGUGUGGCCCUAAAAAGACAAAAAAAAAAAAAAGCCCCAAAAAGGCGGAGAUCCUGAGAGAGGAGGGUACCCAGGGAUGUUGACUCCCAGCCAGGUGGUUGCUCUGUGGCGGGGUUACAUGCCCUGCCUCCCUCUGCCCUGCUUCUCGACCUCCCUGCACUGCAGCCUCUGUACCAACAUCAGUAGCCCCGAACUCCGGGGGUGGAUCCCAGCAGAGUCAGCCCCCCAUGCCUGGAGGCCUGGAUUUUCUCAGGUGGUUUAGGGGAGACUUCCCUUCGCUAGGUAGGGUGGGGCUAGGUCGGGCCUGAAGGAGUGGCUGAAAGAGCCAGAGAGGGCAAGGGGCUUGAAGCAGGCUGGGCAAUUUCCGAUAUGUUUACCCAAUGUUUAGGCUGAGUCUCAAUUUAUUUACAUUGAACAUUUCGGUAACCAUCUGCUCUUAAACUAAACGGAAAAUUAUCUUUCUCCUACUGUGAUGGCAGCUCCCUUGGAUGUUUUUAAUAAAAAAAAAAUCUAUCAUUUUAACGCAGACAGCUCAGCUAAUAAAAAUGAUCUGUGUCAUUAGUAAUUAUCCCACAAAUACAGUGCAAAGUAGCAGACAGGCCUGCAGGGCCGCCCCCCCACCCCCCGAAAGAUUGGUUCCUUCCUAGGCCUGGGGCCCUGGGCAAGGUGGAGUGACCCAGCACCUGUGGGAGAACAGGUGCAUGUCAGGAGGAAGGACCCCUGGAAUUCAUCCAAAGACCAGUACCAGGCAGACCGACAGAGCAUCUGGGCAGGCUUACAGCCUGGAUCUGCAGAUUGUUAGAGCAGGAAGGGGCAACAGACGAGCUCUCUCCCAUUGGGGGCUUAUUGGCAUUAAUGUUAAUUUCUGGCCUUUCCCCAGCUUCUUUCAUGUAACCCUGUAAACCGGAAACCAGUGACCACAUGACCAAGUGGUUAUGCAGGAAAAGCGGCUGGAGGGUUUCAACCAGAGGUUGUCACCUUAGGUGACUUUGGAGACCAGACCUGAAACAUCAAUGUCUGGAGCUUCAUAGGUGUGGAAAAACCGAACUGUAACUGGGGUCUUUGGUAAACUGGAAGAUGCACUUCUCACUGAAACAUGUUGAAUAAAAAAGCAAAUUUAAACACAGACUGGGCAAAAUAAAUAUGUUGCCGGGUGGGUUUGGCUGUGAGCGAUUGGUUUGAAAACCUGAUCUAACUCUUGGAUUCAACCUUUGCCCUCCCCCUCCCGCAUACAAUGCUGAGCUUUGGUAGCCAGGGGAGGACUGUGUGGGUUCCACCUUCUCCCAGGCAGCAUAUAUACAGAAGCAGGUGCUGGGACUUCCCUCCCACAGACUGGGAGGGCCCACACCUCUGGAUUCCAGCUGUGAGCUGAGAAGCAGAUGGAGUUAGAACAGGGGGACAGAUGAUGAACGAUCUCAGAAACAGAGCCUGAGGCUUCCCAAAUCCUGAGCCUUUCAAGGCAAUUAGAUCUUGAAGGUGGGUAGGUGGUAGAAUUGAGGAAAGGUGGAAUGGGAUGUCUGGUAGUUUCAAGUUCAAGUUAGGGCAGAGGCCCCAGUCUCCUGUGACUGAAUGGGUUAGUUAAAAGUCAUUCAGGGUGUUCCUGUGAACCCCAAAGAAUAUCCAUGAGGAUGUGGGUUCGAUCCCUGGCCUUGCUCAGUGGGUUAGGGAUCCUGCGUUGCCGUGAGCUGUGGUGUAGGUCGCACACUCGGUGUGGAUCUGCAUUGCUGUGGCUGUGGCAUAGGCUGGCAGCUCCAGCUCCACGUCGACCCCUAGGCAGGGAACUUCCAUAUGCCACAGGUGAAGUCCUGAAAAGCCAAAAACAAAACAAAGCAAAAAACAAAGGCAAAACUCAUUCAGUCGCAAGGGCAGAAACCCAACUGGCUUAAAGGAAAAAAGGUAUAUUUUGGCUGCGAAACAAAGAAAUCCAGAAAUCUUAUUUUUGCCCAUCUCCUGGCUCAACCUUCCUCUAUGAGGGUUUCUUUCCCAGAUGACACUUGCCUCUUGGGGACAAGCUGGCUGCCAGCAGCAAUAGGCAUAAACCUACUCCUCUCAGUUGCCUUAGCAGAAGGAGCAAGACCCUUAGGAAAAGUUAGCCCCACCCAGAUCAGAGGGACUGAACGCUGGGGAGGAACCAUUCAGAGAAGCGGUGCAAGGGAAUGGAGGCUGGGAGGACUUCCUCCCACAGAGAAGGAGAAGGAAAGAAGAGACUAGAGCUGCACUGGGUGCCUCGUGUAUGUCAGAGCGUCUGCGCACUGCACAUCAUACAUUAUCUCAACCCCACCAUGUAAAUGUCCUACAGCCACGUUACAGAUGGGGAAACUGGAGCCCCGAGGAGUUUGCCAAUCGUGUGAGAUUGCCCAGCUGGUGGAGAAAAGGCCCUGCUUUGUAGACGGCAUUGAACAGAAGGGCCGCUAUGCACGGUGCUGCGUCUCUCUGCCCUCACUUGGAUCCUGCGGACUCCUCAUGGCCAUUAUCCAUUUUCCUAUUUGGGUCUGUGCCCUUUCUUUAUUGACGAGCAGGAUAGAAAACACAGUGGUAGGGGCUCUGCCACGAGAAGGGCAUGUGACUGAACAUCUGCCUUCGCCAUCUGACUCUGAGCUCCCAGCAGGACAGGGAUUAUGUCUGGUUCACCUUUGGGUCCUCGGGUUCUAUCUCCGCUUUGGGUUGGAGGGGCGAUGGAGGGGUCAGGAGAUCUGAAUUCCAGGCUCCAACCUGCAACCCACCAACUAACAUUUUUAGCCUCCUCG
rnacentral:lncRNA from 1 species